rnacentral:rRNA from 1 species
UACGUAGGGUGCAAGCGUUGUUCGGAUUCACUGGUCGUAAAGCGUGCGUAGGUGGUUUGUUAAGUCUGAUGUGAAAGCCCUGGGCUCAACCUGGGAAUUGCAUUGGAUACUGGCAGGCUAGAGUGCGGUAGAGGAUGGCGGAAUUCCCGGUGUAGCAGUGAAAUGCGUAGAGAUCGGGAGGAACAUCUGUGGCGAAGGCGGCCAUCUGGACCAGCACUGACACUGAGGCACGAAAGCGUGGGGAGCGAACAGG